UACCACUUAGGUGACAGAGAAUCAUGGGUAAAUGAUAGUUUCUUGAUACGUGUAUGAAAAGCCUCCUCAGUAAAUGUCCCAAACUUCGCAAUGACGAGGUAACAAAUCCAGUCACAGCCCAAGUGGUUUUGAAACAGUUCAACAAAAGCCCGAGUGAACAGUUGAUAAAGCAUUACAAGAUUUGUAGUGUUUUCUUUUUCCCAAUCUUCUGAUUUGGGGAAUAUUAUGUAAGGGUGGAUGGUGGAAGGUGCAAGGUUGAUGGUGGGCGUAGAUGAUGGAGGUGUAUGUGGAAAGCAGCAAAGGCCACAGGUGAGCGGAGGACCCAGGCGGCCGAUGGCCUGAUACAACCACAUGCCGAAGCAGGAUUCUUGAGACUUGGCAGUUCGGGUGCAGCAAGGACGCACGGAUGUAGAUUUAUGCUUCUGUCACCUGGGAAAUGCCACCAACAUGGGACCAUUUUGUGAACAAUCAGCUUGGAAUUUGGAGCAGAGUCAGCAUGAGGUUAGAGCAUCAACGUCACAGAGGUCUGACUCGACUUACGAUUUCUCAGGGAAGUACUUCUCCCUCCUCAGUGUCAGGGCAGAGGUGGGAGCAUUUCUGGUGUGUUUCCUUCCACGUGCGGGUUUUUAUUCACCCUGUGAAGUCCUGGCUUCACAGAGGGUUCUCGUCUGCAUAUCCCGCCCUGGGAAGACCCUGAGCCUUCGGCCCUCGUCCCCGCCUGCCUGGUGCUCUGAGGUGCUGCAGACCUGCGGAUCACUGCAGAACCCCCAGGGGAGAGGCUGGUCUUGACCCAGCUUGCCUGCUGGGGUUCCUGAUUUCCCCCCAUUUGGUGUCUUGCAAUUUCUUUGUUUUCUUGAAAGAUGUGUGAUGUGUAAGUUUUCCUUUAAUUUGUCCACCUAAUUAUCUUCUCCAGAAGGGUUCUUAAGAGCAUCAGAUCUGCCACAUGUGAGAAACAGAAGUCCCCACGGCUGCUCUUGGCUCCUGUGGCCCUUUGCUAUGGAUCUGUCUUGGCCAGUGUUUCCUGAAAAAUGGGCUGAAGCAAGAAUGCACUAACUGGGAAGCUCGUUUGUGGGAGACACGGGUGAAGAAGGAGAAUGAGAAAGAAAGCGAUCUUCGGAGGAAGGAACCGGGGCGUAAGGCAUGACGUCUGUCCUGAAGUUUCCCUGGCCCGUUUAGUGCCUGCAUGACAAUGGGGGUGUGGGGGGGUGGGGACAAGGGCUCCCCACAUUACCGGGCAUGACUGGGGUACUGAGGGGCAGCGGGGCCCUCCUCAGGCAGAGGGGGCUGGCCUCUCCGCCCCACCUUCCUGCCUGGCCUGGGACAGGGCUCCACCCACACAUGGGGCUGGGCCCCUGGAUCCCGCUGUGCCUGAAGGCGGCCUCUCCCGGCCUGAGUGCUGGAGUCGUGCCCGUUGAGCAGCUUGGUGGGGGCUCCGUUCUCUGGACUGACCGCGGCUCUGAGGUGGGCUGCUCCCAAACUCCUCAGAGCCGGGUCGUUGAAGACGGCUGCGCACAGCCACCCGCGGCCCCUGGCUCAGCGGCCGUCCGGCCUCCCCUGGGACUCCUCUGUAGUGGAGUCCUGGUCCCCGGGCAGCAGCCCAGCCCCCUGUCACCCAAACCAAUCUGUUCCGGGAGGGCCUCUGGGUCAGACUCUCGGAAGGGCAUCCCCAGCCCAGAGGAGGCGCCUCACUUUCCUGAAAUCGGCCCCGAAAACAUCAGCAGUGUGGACGGCAGGGGGCCGGCGGCCAGAGAGAUGCGCACAAGCAAUAAGGGGAGAACUUCCGAGAGUCAAUCUUGAAAUCACACCCUUGAAUUUCCCAUCAUGUGGGGGGGCCCGGGUGGCUAAGCGGCUGACUCUUGACUUUGACUCAGGUCAUGGUCUCACGGUUUGUGGGGUGGAGCU